GGGUCAUUUUUAUUAAUUUCCUUUCAAUUUGUCCCGUCUUAUUCUCCCUGUUCGGCUUAGAGUUCUAAGGAGCAUUAAGCAACAUCAAUGGCGAAGAGAUCAGUGGGAUUGCCGUUCUCGCGCCUUCUCCUCAAUCAAGCUCUCAAAAACCCUAUUGAUGCUACAUUCCAUGGAUUUUCCCCUUUCGCGCGAACCCCAAAUCUCUCUCUGUUGGGCAGACCCUUCUGUUCUACUUCCACACCUACAGCUGUGCAGCAUCUUCUAGCCGAGCUGGAGAUGGAGAAGCAUUUGCAGUUGAUGGAAUCGGGUUCUGAUGAGAAAUUGGUUGACAUGAAUAGAAUGAGCAAUGUUAGACAGCAUGGGCUCGAAGAAGCACUUUCUUUGUAUGAGGAAAUGGUUGAAAGUGGAAUCUUCCCUGAUGUAGUUACUUAUGGCUCCAUUUUAUAUGGUCUUUGUAAGCAUGGAAAGUUGUCUGAAGGAAAACUGCUUUUGAGGGAGAUGGGAAAGAUGGGUAUGAAUCUAAAUGAUGUAUCAUAUUCUAUUCUACUUGAUGCAUUGUUUAAGGCUGGGAAAGUUGCAGAAGCAUUAAUGACACUGGGUUGUAUGAUUGUGCGUGGGAGUAACUUUGAUAUAAUAGCAUGUACUGUUCUGAUUGAUGGAUUCUUGAAGAAUGGACAAAUAAAAGAGGCCGAGUGUGUAUUCUGCAAUUUACAUCAACUUAAUCUAGUUCCAAACUAUAUCACAUAUUCUGCCUUAAUUGAUGGCCGUUGCAAGCUGGGAGACAUAAAUGGUGCUGAAUCUACACUGCAUGAGAUGGAGGAGAAACAUUGUGUCCCUAAUGUCAUCGCCUAUUCUUCUAUGAUCAAUGGUUAUGUGAAGAAAGGAAUGCUUCAUAAUGCAUUUAAAGUAUUGAGAAAGAUGGUUCACAAAAAUGUCAUGCCAAAUAUAUGUACGUAUGCAAUUCUACUUGAUGGUUCCUUCAAGGCUGGUUGGCAAGAUAUUGCCCUUGAUCUUUAUAACAAAAUGAAACAGGGAGGAUUGAAGGAUAAUGUUUUCGUACUGGAUGCUUUUGUGAACAAUUUGAAAAGAAGUGGAAGGAUGGAGGAAGCCGAGGAUUUGAUUACAAAAAUGGCAUCUGCAGGGUUAAAACCCGACCUUGUCAACUACACAAAUUUGAUGGAUGGGUUCUUGAAGUCUGGGAAAGAAUCAUCUGCUCUUAACCUGGCUCAGGAAAUGACUUCCAAGAAUAUAGUGUUUGAUGUUGUUACUUUCAAUGUCUUAAUUAAUGGUUUGUUCAAGCUUGGGAAAUGUGAUACAGUAUCAAUUUACUUAGCAAUGGGGGAGUUGGGGUUAUCUCCAGACUCAGCAACGUACAACACCAUGAUAAACGGUAAUUUUAAGAAGGGGAACUGGGAAAGUGCCCUGGAGUUGUGGAAUGAGAUGAAGAGCAGAAAGUUGGUACCAAGUGCAAUCACAUGUAACAUUAUGAUAAAUGGUCUUUGUGAAGCUGGGAAGAUAGAAAAUGCAAUUGAUAUUUUGAAAGAAAUGGGUUUGAUGGGUUUGUACCCCACAUCAACUACUUAUAGAAUUUUACUCAAUGUAUCCUCAAAGAGUAGAAGGGCUGACACUAUUUUAAAGAUCCAUGAGUUGCUUGUUGAUAUGCACCUUAAAGUCGAUAAGGAUGUUUUCAACAAUCUCAUAAGCAACCUGUGCAAACUAGGAAUGACUAGAAAGGCAACUGCAGUGUUGAAAGACAUGGAGAAAAGAGGAAUUCUAGCAGACACCAUAACGUUCAAUGCCCUGAUUCAGGGAUACUGCAUUAGCAGCCAUCUGAAGAGAGCUUUUAUGACUUAUUCAACAAUGUUGUCUGAAAGAGUUUCUCCAAAUAUUGGAACUUACAAUCUCCUUCUAGGUGGCCUGUCUAAAGCAGGGUUAAUACACAAGGCAGAUGACCUACUUAGUGAGAUAAAGAAAAGGGGCUUAGUUCCCGAUGCUUGUACCUAUGAAACUUUGAUGUGCGGCCAUUGCAAGGUUGGAAAUACAAAGGAAUGUUUGAGAUUAUAUUGUGAGAUGGUAAUUAAAGGAUUUAUUCCCAGACCAAGAGCGUACAACAUGCUCAUUGGGUAUUUUUCUAAGAUGGGAAAAAUGAGCCAAGCUAAGGAGCUAAUGAAUGAGAUGCAGAGAAAAGGUGUAUCCCCCACUUCUUCCACAUAUGACAUACUGAUAUGUGGGUGGUGCAAGCUGUCUAAAAUGCCAGAUCUAAGUAGGACACUAAAAGUAUCAUACCGAGCUGAGGCAAAAAGAUUAUUCACUGAAAUGAAUGAUCGAGGGUUUGUUCCUUGUGAAAGUACUCUUUUUUGCAUUAGUUCUACAUUUGCUACACCAGGGAAGAAGGCUGAUGCUCGCAUGUUAUUGAAGAGCACAUACAAGAGAAAGCGUGAGUGAGAUGAGAUAUAUUUGUUCUAGAGGCUGAAUUCCUUCAAAUCGAUAUAUGACAUCAGUUGAUUCACUUCCUCUAUUUCUAUCAGUGCAACUGUUUUUCUGUGUAAUUGAUGAGGUUCAGUACGUCUUUUGUCUUUCCAUCAUUAUCCAGGCAAUGUUCUAAUCAAUUCCCGAUCUCAUUUGUGCAAGCGUCUCAAAUAUCAAUGAUCACCAGCCAUCAUGUUUGAGGCUUACUGAGCUGAGUUGAAAGAAGUUGAAACUUCACAUAUAAUGAGAGCUGCCAUUGCUUGUAGCUCGGAAAUCUGCUGUUAUACUUCGAUAGGAACUGUUUGAAAGUAGGAGGAAGGAAAAAGGAAAAAUAGAAUUGUUGCCUUCAAAAUAGUACCAAGAAUACUUCUUGCAUGCUCCUCUUCGCUGACAAUGCAACGAGGUUGAAGGCAUUUUCAAGGCAUUUCAUGGGCGUUUUAAAUGCUUCAGACUGCAAUGACAAAGUGUGCAUCGAAUUGGAUGGAGAAAGUCUUGUUCCAAUAAUUUACCGGUGAGAAUAUUUUCUGAGAAAACAUGCCAUCGUGAUGAAGGAAGGUUUAUUGAUGAAUAAUAAACAGAAAGUAAAACAAUUUGAGAUAUAUAUCAAUAUAACUUUAAGAGUUUCUUUUUAAGUUCUUUAAAGUUAGUGGUAUCUAUAUGAAAGCAAAAACAGAAAGGGUAAAUAUAGUUGGGUCAGGUAAUUUUCUUGUGAAAAUAAACCAGCUCGAUCGAUAUUGUAGGAUUGUCGACAACAUAUUGUUGAUAUGUUGAGUGUGUUUCAUGUCGAUGACUGUUGAGUAUUUUCAAUGUCUUAAUACAUGGUUGCAUCGUGUCAGUUGUUUUACAGUGACCGUCUUUGAUUGUAACAAGUAUUAUGUAUUUAUUCAAUUUGGUAGAUGAGA